rnacentral:siRNA from 1 species
CAAUACUCUGGAACUCCCGGUA